UGGGGAAUAUUGGACAAUGGGCGAAAGCCUGAUCCAGCAAUGCCACGUGAGUGAUGAAGGCCUUCGGGUUGUAAAGCUCUUUUAACAAGGAAGAUAAUGACGGUACUUGUAGAAAAAGCACCGGCUAACUCCGUGCCAGCAGCCGCGGUAAUACGGAGGGUGCUAGCGUUGUUCGGAAUUACUGGGCGUAAAGGGCGCGUAGGCGGUUAAUUAAGUUGGAAGUGAAAUCCCAGAGCUCAACUCUGGAACUGCUUUCAAAACUGGUUGGCUAGAGUUAGGUAGAGGAUAGUGGAAUUCCCAAUGUAGAGGUGAAAUUCGUAGAUAUUGGGAGGAACACCAGAGGCGAAGGC
rnacentral:rRNA from 1 species